UUUCCGUAGGUGAACCUGCGGAAGGAUCAUUACAUUCAGUAGCCCAGCUACUUGUUUACACCCUUGUUUUUUUUUGCGUACCUAUCGUUUCCUCGGCGGGCUUGCCUGCCGGUUGGACAACAUUUAAACCUUUUUAAAUCUUCAAUCAGCGUCUGAAUAAUAUACAAUAAUUACAACUUUCAACAACGGAUCUCUUGGUUCUGGCAUCGAUGAAGAACGCAGC
rnacentral:misc_RNA from 1 species